UUCGCGAUUCGUGUCUAAUGUUAAAAUACGCCUGCGAAAAUAAAGAAUCAUAACAAAUGCGCAACCAACCUGCUGAUAAGGUGGUAGUUGUAAUAGGUCCCUUUCGUCGGCUCCGGUGACUUCGAAAGUCGGUGCGGCCGGUUGAGGAUACAGACUCGUCUUCCCCGGGUACGAGGUACUUCUCCGAAAUUUCACCGGACUGAUACCGGUGGGUCCUGGAUGUCCUGGAUGUCCGGGAUGUACGGGAUGACCCGGAUGUCCCGGAUGACCGGGGUGUCCCGGAUGACCCGGGAAGGUAGGACUCGGUUUCCUGCCUUGAAGGCUGGCCGCUGCAGCGGCCGCUGCCGCUGCCACGUGGAGCGACGAAUGCAAAGGAGGUAAAUUGGGCACCGAUCUACCGCGACUCCAAGGUGAUUGCAAGGCGGGACUUCCGCUCCCUUGGGGACCGCCGCCUCCUCCGCCGGCGCUUCCGCCCCAUUGCUGAGGACCCACGCCGGACUGAGAACCACCCGACCACGCGGCGUACCCUUUCCCCUGCACGUAAACCCCGGGGUGGUUCGAAACGGUCGAUUGCUGCUGAUGUUGCUGUUGCUGCUGCUGCUGCUGCGGUUGGGAUUAUUGUUGUUGUUGUUGUUGUUGUUGUUGGGACGGCGAUGAUACCGAUAAAACUCCGUGUCUCGAAACAACACCGAUCCCGCUAGUUCCACCACCAACACCAACACCGGCACUACUACCACUACCUGCACCACUACCACCCGCGCCUCCUACCCCGCCCCCGCCGACGUGUUGCGGGAAAUUGUGACUUGCGGUUAUCGCCCUUCUCGAUCCCGCGUUACCUGCACCACUACCGCCGCUACCGGUGUUCGCGAAUAAACCGGCAGGUCCUCCCGUCGGAAAAUUUUGAAAGGCGGCGAGCGAUCCGUUUACCGGUAAGGCGUGGAGGCUCACCUCGUCGGCCCACAAACUGGGGACCCUGACGGGAUCCGGGAACCCGGAUUGCUGGGUCCCGUCUUUGUCCGACCCCGAGACAACGCUCAUCGGGGUCAUCGAGGUCAUCGAUGCGAUCGAACUCAUACCGGUGAUUGAUCCCAUGGAGGAAAUCGAGCCGACCUCCCUUUCCUGAUCCUGUAAAUCCUUGGCUUUGUUGUCCUGUCCGCUCACACCGAUAUUAGAAUCCGAUACUGCACCACCGCCCGCACCAGGUGACAACGGAGCCGGUUUAUUUGCGGUCUGUUUUUCUAUCAGCAGGUCGUCCUGCAUGACCGUUGACGGCUUACUGCUACUACUCGAUGUAGGCGCAGGGUUAUUAGCAAAUAAACUGGAGCAGUAGUCCAGCGUAGAGAUAACAGGGCCGUAUUUAAAGUCCCCCAUAUAUGUUGCGAUUCAAUUUUCAGAUCAACUACACCGUCUCGGUGAAAUUCGUACCGUACCCUUUUCUUUUUUUUUUUUCUUUUAUAAUUAAACUUGGUAAAUUUAUUUAUUUAUUUUAUCUUUUUUUUUUCUCUUCUUGACGUUCGUCGAUUUGGUUCGGAAAUAAAUUUCAUGUACGAUUCAAUUCCCAAUAUUCAAGCUGUGUGCAUUAUCAUGCUUGGAUUUUUCAAAAAUCCUUCCGUUUUCGGUUCUUCUUUGCACCGGAUCAAAACUGACUAUAUAACGUUAUUUAUGUGUUCAAUAUUUAUAUAAGUUCAUUCUUAAAGUUU
rnacentral:misc_RNA from 1 species